rnacentral:tRNA from 1 species
GCCCCGUUAGCUCAAUUAGGAUAGAGCGUCAGUUUCCGGUACUGAAGGUUGCAGGUUCGAUUCCUGUGCGGGGUACCA